rnacentral:lncRNA from 1 species
AUGGGGCAGACCAGCCAGGUCCAGCCAGGCCAGCAUCUCAAGAGCAUAGAGCCAGGGAGCAUGCGCAGAACCCCAAGAGCAGGGGCAUGUGGGCACCUUGAUUUCCCAGGGGAAAAAAUAUUACAGGAAGUGUGAACCAACAGCCAAAAGAAGGUAAGAGUCAGAGGCCUAGGUGGACAAAAGGACGCGGUGAAGAAGAAGAUAAUCUGGGGAGGUGCAGAAAAACUGAGAGGAACCGGCAGAUGCAGACAGAGGAAGAAAGCCACGUCUGUGCAGCGAAAGCCAAAGGAUGCUGGUGGCAUCAGCGAGGAAGGCAAACCCCGUGACCGUAAGAGCUGAACAAGGAGGCGGGAGCCAUCUCUGCUGGCCAGGGUGAUCGGUGCAUUCAGGGCCACAGUUUCCAUUAUCUUCAUGAGCAGUAGCUGGAAUGAAGGAGAAAUGGAAAGUGGGAAUGAAGACAGGAUGCUGAGCUUCAGAUACUUAAAUAAACUCAAGAACAGGAGGACUGAAAGCCAAGAUUUCAACUGCAAGAGCCGGGCCAUUAAGAGAGGAAAGGGUUUCCUAAAUUCGCAUACAUUUCUUUUAAAUACAAUAAUCUUAGAGGACAAGCAUGGGGUUUUCACCACACACCAUAGUGUAGAGAAGGAUUCACAAAUGACCCAAGAGCAGUUCCCUGUCCCCCAGCAAGGUGAACAGCCCUUCUUGGGCUGGGAUGUGGGGGGCAGAGAUGAGAGACAUUUUCAGUUAAUGAGAUUAUUAGAUUAAGACACUAUACCUAGAGUGCAGGAGAGAUUAUGGACAUUUCAGAUGGUCCAAAGAAGAAUCUGAAAGCUUGUGCUCCACUUUCUGUUUAGAAUUCCAGGCAGAGACUGCCUUGCAAGGUGAUCUACACCCAUGCUGGGGGGCUUCAGUAGAGGAGAAAUGAUGGUGUGAAACGUUUAGAUAUGGAGGGAAUCUGAGAUGCCAUAGAGGAGGUUCCCUGGGUUUCUGUGUGGCUUGGGUGAGAUCUAGAACUUUCUGUGUGGGAUGGGAGUGGGGAGCAGUAGUACUAAAAGGGUCGCGGGAGAGGAAGAGGUUGGUGCCUGGUAGGAGACAAACCCCUGCAGCUGGAGGCCAAGAGAGGAUCACGGUGGGCAGAGCACAUGGCCCAGGGGUGGAGCCGACCUCCAGACACCAGAAGAACAACCUAAGUUCCUCCCACACAGUCAGACUUGAAACUAGAGGACAGACAGAGAACCAGGAAUGUCUACUUUGCCCCCAUGAGGAAUAGAAACAACUUCCUGACUAUCCCUUGGUGGGACAGGAGGACUUUCAAGAGGAUGAAACUCUGAAAAAGAGUUUACCCUGUGAUUAAUUAAAUGAAAUCCUCAAUGGCCAGAGUAAUUAUACAAAGAUUAAGUGUCAAAUGGGAGAGAGUUUACCUGGAAGCAGUAAGAUUCGUUGCUUUUAUUGGUUCAUUUGUUUUGUUUUCUGCUUUCGGUAGAAAUGGAUCUUCACGAGUCAGUUGAAUUUGAUUAAACAGAAUUUAGCAUUUCAGCCAUUUGGGUGACAGUGGGUGCAUUCUAAAGUCAGCACACCACCCAAAGUGAUAUAUGAGGUGGAAUGGGAGGGGUGGCAGGUAUUCAGCUUAAAGGACCGGGAUAUCAUGAUCAGUGGCUACUGUUUUACUUUUAAAAACCUUCCUUUUCUGGGUCUAGAAUAUAUAAAGAAUGUCUACAAAUCAACAACAAAAAACAUGAACAGCCUAAUUUUUUAAACAGGCAAAUGAAUUCAGUAGGUAUCUCACAGGACAAAUGAAUGAUCAGUAAGCACUGAAAAGGUGUUCAAUGUCCCCAGUCAUCAGGACAACACAAAUUAAAAUUGCAAUAAGAUAACAUUUCACGUCCACUAAAAUUGCUAAGGUGAAAUACGAUGAACAUUGACAAGUGUGUGGAGACACUGGAACUCUUUAUCAUUGUGGAUGAAGAUGUGUCUAGCAGUUUCUUAUGGCAGUAAAUAAACAUGCUUCUACCCCA